UACGGGGGGGAGCAAGCGUUGUUCGGAUUUACUGGGCGUAAAGGGCGCGUAGGCGGUCAGCACAAGUCAGUUGUGAAAUCUCCGGGCUUAACCCGGAAAGGUCAACUGAUACUGUGCGACUAGAGUGCGGAAGGGGCAACUGGAAUUCUCGGUGUAGCGGUGAAAUGCGUAGAUAUCAGGAGGAACACCGGUGGUGUAGACGGCUCACUGGACCGUAACUGACGCUGAGACACGAAAAGCGUGGGUAGCAAACAGG
rnacentral:rRNA from 1 species